rnacentral:rRNA from 1 species
UACGUAGGUGGCAAGCGUCGUCCGGAAUUAUUGGGCGUAAAGGAUGUGUAGGCGGUCUUCUAAGUGGGAUGUGAAAUCCCCGGGCUUAACCCGGGAGUGGCAUUCCAAACUGGGAGACUAGAGUGCAGGAGAGGAAAGUGGAAUUCCCAGUGUAGCGGUGAAAUGCGUAGAGAUUGGGAGGAACACCAGUGGCGAAGGCGACUUUCUGGACUGUAACUGACGCUGAGGCAUGAAAGCGUGGGGAGCAAACAGG